AACGCGAAGAACCUUACCAGGUCUUGACAUCCGUGGAACCUUGGUGAAAGCCAGGGGUGCCUUCGGGAACCACGAGACAGGUGGUGCAUGGUUGUCGUCAGCUCGUGUCGUGAGAUGUUGGGUUAAGUCCCGCAACGAGCGCAACCCCUGCUAUUAGUUGCUAACAUAUAAGGUGAGCACUCUAAUGGGACUGCCUGUGACAAGCAGGAGGAAGGUGGGGAUGACGUCAAAUCAUCAUGCCCUUUAUGAUCUGGGCUACACACGUGCUACAAUGGAUGGUACAGAGAGCAGCAAGACCGCGAGGUGGAGCGAAUCUCAAAAAGCCAUUCUCAGUUCGGAUUGUAGUCUGCAACUCGACUACAUGAAGUCGGAAUCGCUAGUAAUCGCGAAUCAGCAUGUCGCGGUGAAUGCGUUCCCGGGUCUUGUACACACCG
rnacentral:rRNA from 1 species